GACGAACGCUGGCGGCGUGCUUAACACAUGCAAGUCGAACGGAAAGGCCCUGCUUUUGUGGGGUGCUCGAGUGGCGAACGGGUGAGUAACCCGUGAGUAACCUGCCCUUGACUUUGGGAUAACUUCAGGCAACUGGGGCUAAUACCGGAUAGGAGCUCCUGCUGCAUGGUGGGGGUUGGACAGUUUCGGCGGUUGGGGAUGGACGGGGGGCUUAUCAGCUUGUUGGUGGGGUAGUGGCUUACCAAGGCUUUGACGGGUAGCCGGCCUGAGAGGGUGACCGGCGUCAUUGGGACUGAGGUAGGGCGCAGAGUCGAACGGGAGGCAGUGGGGGGGAAUAUUGCACAGUGGGCGGAAGCCUGAUGCAGCAGCGCCGGGUGCGGGAUGAAGGCUUUCGGGGUGUAAACCGCUGUAGCCUGUGACGAAGCGUGAGUGACGGUAAUGGGUAAAGAAGCACCGGCUAACUACGUG
rnacentral:rRNA from 1 species